GCCAUUUUAGAACACUGGCUGCCUAUAUAAACAGAGCAGAUUGCUGCUGGCAGAGCAGGCAGAAACAUCGCCUGGCUGAACUGCUGAAUGGAACAUCUGCAGUUGCCUUGGAAAAAAUGGGGAAAACAACACUGCCCUACUACUGGCAUGCCAUGAGGAUAAGUACAUGCAAGGAAGAAGUAGAAAGACUCUUUGUCCUCAUUAAGCCUUUAUUGUAACAACUAACUCCUGACCCUAAAUGGCUGAUGACCACUUCCUGCGGAUGGCAUCACUCUGCAUCUCCCUUUCUCAAAGGAAAACUUGAAGCCCAGUUACAAAAGGAACCUAAACAAAGCAGAA